UGGGGAAUAUUGGACAAUGGGGGCAACCCUGAUCCAGCGAUGCCGCGUGAGUGAUGAAGGCCUUCGGAUCGUAAACCCCUGUCGAAUGGGACGAAAGACUCGCGAGUGAAUACUUCGCGAGAGUGACGGUACCGUUAAAGGAAGCCACGGCUAACUCUGUGCCAGCAGCCGCGGUAAUACAGAGGUGGCAAGCGUUGUUCGGAAUUACUGGGCGUAAAGGGCGCGUAGGCGGCCCUCUAAGUCAGACGUGAAAUCCCCCGGCUUAACCUGGGAACUGCGUCUGAUACUGGAGGGCUUGAGUAUGGGAGAGGGAUGUAGAAUUCCAGGUGUAGCGGUGAAAUGCGUAGAUAUCUGGAGGAAUACCGGUGGCGAAGGCGGCAUCCUGGACCAUUACUGACGCUGAGGCGCGAAAGCUAGGGGAGCAAACAGGAUUAGAUACCCAAGUAGUCCCUGAGCGGGCUGGCAAGGCGCAU
rnacentral:rRNA from 1 species